UAAUCUUCACUGGGGUGGGCCCAGGGAUGGAAUUAAUGGGGUCUUGAAUAUGUUUAUGAUCCAUGCAGUUGAUUUUUUUAAAAGAUUUUAUUUAUUCAUCAGAGACACCAAGAGAGAAGCAGAGACAUAGACAGGACUCGAUCCCAGAACCCCAGGAAUGCGACCUGAGCCAAAGUCCAGCCCCUAUUUAUUAACUUCCUCAUCAAAGGAAAUGAGAGGCUCAUCAGCAAGAGUUUGCAGUAGGAGUAACAGGUGGUUAACACGCGACAUGCAGGAUGCUGAGAUGACGUCCAGGAAGCGGUAAGCAGGGGAGCCAACCUGGUAGCAAAACGAGACACAACACAACAAAAGUAAGGGAGCGAUUGUGAUCGGCUUGGGAGCGACAGGCUGUGGGCAGCACCUUGUGGCCCUCAGCAGCCCCUGAUUAUCUGGAUCGCCCCGGCUAUGGACACCGGAGGGAGCCUUGAGAGAAGACCUCUGGGCGUGAAGGUGGCCCAGUGAGUCAAGCCUUCCUUAUAUCGGAUGGAUUUCAACCCGAGGAGACGGCGGCAAGGCUACGGGAAGAAAGCAGAACUUGCAAAGGUAAAACCAAUAUGCAAAAUCAAUAUACAAAAAUCAAGGAUCUUUCUAUACACUAGCAACAAGAAGUCAGACAAUAAAGAUUUGUGAAGAUAUCUUUAAAAAAGAACUAAAAGAAAGUUCUUAAAAAUAAAUCAAGUCUCUUAAGAAGAAAAUCAGAAAACUUUAUUCAAAGACAUUAAAGAGAGCCUAAAUAAAUGGAUAGAUUUACCAUAUUCCUGGGUGGGAAGACUCAACAUCGUUGAUACGUCCAUUCCUCUACACUGAUUGCUAACUUCAGAGCUUUUUUUUUUUUUUUUUUUUUUCAACUUCAGAGCAUUUUAACAGAUGAAAAUCCCAACAGGAUUUCUCAUAGAAUUUCACAAGUCAAAUCUGAAACUUAGACAGAAAAACAAAGGUUCAAGAAAAAACAAGACUCUGGCAAGGUGAGAGACUUUUCCUGUUAAAUAUCAAGAUAGAAAGCUCUUGGUAUAAAUAUCAAGAUAUAAACUGAAGGAUGUAUAGUAUCAAUCUGGAAACAGACAAACCAAUGGAAUAAAAUAGCCCAGAAACACAAAUGCAUAAAUGGUGUCUUUAUUGAUAGAGUGGUUACUACAGACCAGUAGGAAAGGGUGGGCUACUUAAUAAAUGGUGCCCAAACAAGGUAUUCAUAUGAAAAAAAAAAUACAAAUUUGAGUCCUUACCUCAUAUUAUAUACGACUCAAUUCCAGGUAAAUUAAGGACUUCAAUAUGAAAAACACAGUCAUAAAGCAUUUAGAAUAACAUAAAUGGAAUAUCUCUUUUUACUUAAAGGAUAAGGAAAAAAUUUAAA